AACGAACGCUGGCGGCAGGCCUAACACAUGCAAGUCGAACGCCGUAGCAAUACGGAGUGGCAGACGGGUGAGUAACACGUGGGAACAUACCCUUCGGUUCGGAAUAACUCAGGGAAACUUGAGCUAAUACCGGAUACGUCCGCGAGGAGAAAGAUUCAUCGCCGGAGGAUUGGCCCGCGUCUGAUUAGCUCGUUGGUGAGGUAACGGCUCACCAAGGCGACGAUCAGUAGCNGGUCUGAGAGGAUGAUCAGCCACACUGGGACUGAGACACGGCCCAGACUCCUACGGGAGGCAGCAGUGGGGAAUAUUGGACAAUGGGCGCAAGCCUGAUCCAGCAAUGCCGCGUGAGUGAGGAAGGCCUUAGGGUUGUAAAGCUCUUUCACCCGCGACGAUGAUGACGGUAGCGGGAGAAGAAGCCCCGGCUAACUUCGUGCCAGCAGCAGCCGCCGCU
rnacentral:rRNA from 1 species